AGGCAGCCCCCAAAGCCACGACAGGCAGCGCGCUCACCAUACGGACGGCUGCGGGAGGCAGACCGCCAGGAGAAUAUUUUAGAAAAGACCUUUUCAUCAUUAAUGUCCUUUAAAAAUUGAUCAGCCGAACGCAUGAGAAACGAAGUGGGUGGAUCUGAAGGAGUCGGUUGCCCACGGCAGGUCAGCGUCUUUCGCCUGUUUGUUCGGUGCCCGGAAAACCGGCCCACCAGUCAGUGUCUGUGAACCAUAGAAGAGGCACAGAGGGCAGGCGGGUCCAGGACACCCCAGAGGCAUCCCGGAGGUCCUCGCACACCUGGCCUCUGUCACACCCUCGCCGUCAACAUCUCUUUUUGCCUGUUAAUAAAAGACCAAAGCCCUGUGCAUCUACUUCAAGCUUGGAGGUCACAACGCUGGGUCAGCCAGCAUCCAGCACUCGUGGAGCUGGGGGCACUGAGGUUUAGUGUGCUGAGCUUCAAAACUGCCCACUAACGUGAUAAUCCAGGAUGCUGAAACACAGUCCAUGUUAGCACCCUAUCACCCUGGGCAUGGGAUCAAAACCCAGGCUGAUAAAUGAUGACACCAGCCUGUCUACAGGACUGAAACCCAGCCUAUUAAUGAUGACACCACCCUGUUUAUGGGACUGAAACCCAGCUUAUAACUGAUAACACCACCCUGUCCAUGGGACUGAAACCCAGCCUAUAACUGAUGACACCACUCUGUCCAUGGGACUGAAACCCAGCCUAUAACUGAUGACACCACUCUGUCCAUGGGACUGAAACCCAGCUUAUUACUGAUGACACCACCCUGUCCCUGGGACUGAAACCCAGCCUAUUACUGAUGACACCACU